rnacentral:rRNA from 1 species
CUGGCGGCAUGCCUAAUACAUGCAAGUCGAGCGAAUGAUGAAGAAGCUUGCUUCUUCUGAUUAGCGGCGGACGGGUGAGUAACACGUGGGCAACCUACCCUAUAGAUUGGGAUAACACAGGGAAACCUGUGCUAAUACCGAAUAAUACAUUUUCUUUCAUGAGAAGAUGUUGAAAGAUGGUUUCGGCUAUCACUAUAGGAUGGGCCCGCGGCGCAUUAGCUAGUUGGUGAGGUAAUGGCUCACCAAGGCAACGAUGCGUAGCCGACCUGAGAGGGUGAUCGGCCACACUGGGACUGAGACACGGCCCAGACUCCUACGGGAGGCAGCAGUAGGGAAUCUUCCACAAUGGGCGAAAGCCUGAUGGAGCAAUGCCCGCGUGAGUGAAGAAGGAUUUCGGUUCGUAAAACUCUGUUGUAAGGGAAGAACAAGUAGCGUAGUAACUGGCGUUACCUUGACGGUACCUUAUUAGAAAGCCACGGCUAACUACGUGCCAGCCGCAGC